rnacentral:rRNA from 1 species
AUUGAACGCUAGCGGCAGGCCUAACACAUGCAAGUCGAACGAGUGGCGGACGGGUGAGUAAUGUCUGGGAAACUGCCCGAUGGCGGGGGAUAACUACUGGAAACGGUAGCUAAUACCGCAUACCAUCGGAUGUGCCCAGAUGGGAUUAGCUAGUAGGUGGGGUAACGGCUCACCUAGGCGACGAUCCCUAGCUGGUCUGAGAGGAUGACCAGCCACAAUGGAACUGAGACACGGGCCAGACUCCUACGGGAGGCAGCAGUGGGGAAUAUUGCACAAUGGGGGAAAGCCUGAUGCAGCCAUGCCGCGUGUAGGAAGAAGGCCUUCGGGUUGUAAAGUACUUUCAGCGGGGAGGCGUUACCCGCAGAAGAAGCACCGGCUAACUCCGUGCCAGCCGCCGCGGUAAUUC